rnacentral:lncRNA from 1 species
ACUGUAAGCAUCACAAUGAAUAACAUUCUGUAUAUAUAGCCUUAUACUGAUCGUAGCUCAUCUGUGCAUGGGCUUAACGAAUGUCAACAGUAAACGUCAGAUUUGGCGGCACUUCACUUUUAGGUUGUAAUAGUUUUUGUACGGAUUGUAACUACUGAUAGUAGAUGAUUAAUGAUUUGAUUAAUGUUAUAUUCCUGAUUAUUAUUUGACACUGUAAUUGAAGCAAUCAAUGUAAUAAAGCAAAUGUAGCUGGAAGCAGUGGUUUAAAUGAUAAACCCCCAUACCGGAGCUCGAGGGCCACGGACAUGCCCUCACAUGAAACUGGAAGCAAUAGAUUAAAUGAUGGAUCCCUGUGACUGAGCUCUUGAGCCUUGGCUUGGCUCACAUCUCAGAAGUUGGAUAAAGGAUCUAAUGUCCACAAGGUGCGUAAACGUCACUUGGCCUUCUAAAAGUUGGUUUGAUAAUAGAAACUACAGAAAAAUGUGUAUAAAUGAUACAAGAUUUCAUUAACUUGUUCGAUAAGAGGAGCAAAAGACAGAUCGUUUUGUUUACUUAAAACCAAAAGGUUUUUGUUUGGUGCAUCUAGCAUAACUUUGUUUUCAGUUGAUCAAAUUAUUAACCAUUUCUUUUGUAUUGUUUGUUUUUGGGCUGUGAGAUGAGAAGCUGCCAUACACAAAGGAACAACUCAAGGAAUCAAACAGCUGAUGUAUGAUGAGAGGUAACUUAAGGGUUGAAGCAUUAGCUCUUUGGUGAAACUAACUAUGUCAUCAGCACAAGCCUUGAACAUGUUGAUAAGGAUAUGAAAUGCUAGAUGGUAAGAAUGGCAUUGGACAGAAUACACAGUAUUCUGGUGCAGUGCAGGUACUCAGAGAAAACUGAUUAACACAUAGCCUCGCUGCAAGAGCACACUGAUGUAAAGAAGGUUAAAUCUGAUAGAUGGUGGAGCCACUGCCAGCGGACCGAGUGCCAAGCUGCUGGUGAUCAGGGUCGCAGAGUCGCCGUACUGCAGUGCCGUGUACUUACACGAUAAGGAAGCGAAUCUCUCUAUAUGUGCAUUGAUUGAGAGUGUCGAGAUUCAAUGUUAUAAGAUUAAUAGCUGGCACGACUAUACUAGUCUUUAUAUACAUAUUGUAAAAUCUUAAUUGAGUGCCGAGUUAUGGCAGUGUAUAGUCUAGACCAGGCCAUGAUAAUAGGUAAAACAAACAAAGCUAUGUAUAGAUUGUGACUUAUGUCGAUUCGAAGAUUCUUGUAAUGUAAGCUUGUUGCGUGAAUCAAAUUUUAAACAAAAUAUUGAUAGGUAAAUUUAUGUUGGAAAACUGCUCAGAACAGGCCUUAAAGGCAGACUGUCUGGGGCAGGCCCUGAUUGUUGAUGAUGAUAUUAUUUGCCAUAACAAACAUAUAAGAUUGAAAAGGUUAAUACCUUUUGAUUGAUUGAUUAUGAUGAAUGAAGGAGCAGACUGUCUGGAACAGGUCCUGACUGGGUUGGGCCUAACAUUCUAGAGCAGGCCGUGAAGGCAGACUGUCUAGAACAGGCUAUGAUACCAGUUUGGCAUUCUAGAGCAGGCCGUUAUGGCAGACUGUCUAGACCACACCAGUCUAGAGCAGGCCAUACCAAAUUAUAAAAUUAUAUUGAUUGAUUAGGUUGAAUGAAGGAGCAGACUGUCUGGAACAGGUUUGGGUAGUAGCCUGACAUUCUAGAGCAGGCCGUGAAGGCAGACUGUCUAGAACAGGCUAUAAUACCAUCUUGACAUUCUAGAGCAGGCCGAUAUGGCAGACUGUCUAGGCCACACCAGUCUAGAGCAGGCCAUAAUUUAAUUGAUUGAUUGGCAGACCGCCUUGAUUAGUCAAGAACGGGCCAUAACAAAUUAUAUUUUGUUGAUGAAAAGAGCAGGCCUUAAAGGCAGACUGCGGAUGUUUAUGGCAUAAUAUCUCUUAUUAAUAUGUUCAGAACAGGCCUUUAGGUUGACUGUUAAUGAUAUAUACUUUGUUAAUAUAAUUAGAACAGGCUUGUAAGCAGACUGAUUAUUAGUGAUAUAAUAUACUUUAUUAAUAUGAUAAGAGCAGGCCUAGUCUAGUAGGCAGACUGUGAUGUUAAUUAGAAAAUAUACUUUUGCUAAUAUGUUAUACUUUGGAACCGGCCUUGAAGGCAGACUGAGAUAGUUAAUGAUAUAAUAUAAAAACCUCGAUAAUAUGAUUAGAAUUGACUUUGUAAGCUGAAUGUGACUAUUAAUGAUAUAUUAUACUUAGUCAAUACUUAAAUAACAAGCCUAGUAGGCAGAGAUUGAUAAUGAUGUUUUAUAUACUUUGAUAAAAUGGAUAAUCAUACUGGUUAUAAAACAGGUAUUGUAAACAGACUGAGAUAGUUAAUGAUAAUACUUUGUUCAUAUGAUUAGAACAUUUGUCGACAAACUGAGAGUGUUAAUCACUUUAUAUUAUGUACAAAAUUCAAACUGCCUAUGGCAUUGUUAAUGAUACAUAAUUCGUUAAUAUGUUUAGAACUGACCUUUGAAAGCGGACUGAGAUUAUUAUUUAUAUAUAUACUUUGUUAAUGUGAUAAGAACAGUUCCUGAAAGCUGUGAAAGACCGAGGGUUGCGAUUGAUCAAGACACGCAUUGAAUAUAAUGAUCUAAUUUGCCAGAAUGUUGAGUAGGCCUUGAAGACAGGCUGCGGUUGUUAAUAUUCGUUUAUACCUACUUGUAUUAAUUGCUUGGAGCAGUCUAUGAUUGUAAAUUAGUUGCUAGAUUGGAAAACUUCAACGAAAUGCAAGCUGUUACAGCUACUUGAUGUUGGUAAUGCAAGUGUUUAUAAAUAUGUUGAAUAUUACAAAAAAAAAGUUAUGCAUAGGUUUAGAGCAGGCAUUAGGACAGGCUGUAUUGAUGUUGAUUUUUACUUACUCAUAAACUGUCUAGAAGAGCAUGAUUUAAGUUCCUUAAUAUAUUAAUGAAAGAUAGGUAACUGCAGAUUAAAAGUGAUCUUGAUUUGUGAUUUUAUGAGAUUAAAAGGCUGAUGAUUUUAUAUGUGUUAAACUGAUAGCUCUUGUAUAUUUAAUAACUGUAAUAAGGUUACGAAAGAAUUUAAGAUUUUGUAUAUGUGUUAUACUGAUUAUUUAAUAAGGUUUAGGAGAAGGAUACUGUAGUAAUGAAUGUCUGUGGAUUGAUACUGUAGUAAUGAAUGUUGACAUUAAGCGUAGAUAGGUACCCGUACGUUUGUUACCACUGUUAUUGAGGUGAAUAUGUUUAGUGAGAGGGCUCACUUUAUAAUAAGGACGGCCGAAGCUGUAAGCAUCACAAUGAAUAACAUUCUGUAUAUAUAGCCUUAUACUGAUCGUAGCUCAUCUGUGCAUGGGCUUAACGAAUGUCAACAGUAAACGUCAGAUUUGGCGGCACUUCACUUUUAGGUUGUAAUAGUUUUUGUACGGAUUGUAACUACUGAUAGUAGAUGAUUAAUGAUUUGAUUAAUGUUAUAUUCCUGAUUAUUAUUUGACACUGUAAUUGAAGCAAUCAAUGUAAUAAAGCAAAUGUAGCUGGAA